ACUGCUUUUCUUUGAAAUCCCCAAAUUGUGGAGCCCGCCAGCUUUUUGCUGACGGGUUUUUUUA
rnacentral:sRNA from 1 species